rnacentral:rRNA from 1 species
AGUGAACGCUGGCGGUAGGCCUAACACAUGCAAGUCGAACGGCAGCACAGUAAGAGCUUGCUCUUACGGGUGGCGAGUGGCGGACGGGUGAGGAAUACAUCGGAAUCUACUUUUUCGUGGGGGAUAACGUAGGGAAACUUACGCUAAUACCGCAUACGACCUACGGGUGAAAGCAGGGGAUCUUCGGACCUUGCGCGAUUGAAUGAGCCGAUGUCGGAUUAGCUAGUUGGCGGGGUAAAGGCCCACCAAGGCGACGAUCCGUAGCUGGUCUGAGAGGAUGAGCCGGCACGAUGGGACGGAAGACCGGACCAGCCUCCAGCGGGGGGCAGGAGGGGGGAAUGUGGGAAAAGGGGGGAAAGCGUGACCAGGCCAGGCCGGGGGGGGGAAGAAGGCCUUGGGGUUGAAAAGCCCUUUUGUGGGGAAAAAAAAGCAGCAGGUUAAUACCCCGUUGUUCUGGGGGAACCCAAAAAAAAAGCCCCGGAAAACUUUG